rnacentral:rRNA from 1 species
AACGAACGCUGGCGGCAGGCUUAAUACAUGCAAGUCGAGCGGGCACUUCGGUUUCAGCGGCGCACGGGUGCGUAACGCGUGGGAACAUGCCCUUAGGUACGGAACAACACAGGGAAACUUGUGCUAAUACCGUAUAAUAUCUCCGGAUCAAAGAUUUAUCGCCUAAGGAUUGGCCCGCGUUAGAUUAGGUAGUUGGUGGGGUAAUGGCCUACCAAGCCGACGAUCUGUAGCUGGUCUGAGAGGAUGAUCAGCCACACUGGAACUGAGACACGGUCCAGACUCCUACGGGAGGCAGCAGUAAUGAAUAUUGGACAAUGGGCGAAAGCCUGAUCCAGCCAUGCCGCGUGAGUGAUGAAGGCCUUAGGGUUGUAAAGCUCUUUUAGAUGGGAAGAUAAUGACUGUACCAUCAGAAUAAGCCCCGGCUAAAUUCGUGCCAGCAGCCGCGGUAA